CAUGAUGUGUGCUGCUGACCCACGACACGGUCGCUACCUAACUGCCUCUGCUAUGUUUAGAGGCAAGAUGAGCACGAAGGAGGUAGACGAGCAAAUGCUCAACGUGCAGAAUAAGAACUCUUCUUACUUCGUUGAGUGGAUUCCAAACAAUGUCAAAUCAACUGUUUGUGAUAUCCCUCCAACUGGUUUGAAGAUGGCUUCUACUUUCAUUGGAAAUUCCACAUCAAUUCAGGAAAUGUUCCGCCGUGUGAGUGAGCAGUUCACUGCCAUGUUUAGAAGGAAAGCUUUCUUGCAUUGGUACACAGGU
rnacentral:misc_RNA from 1 species